rnacentral:tRNA from 1 species
UUCAGUCUUCCCAGGCCCACCAUUUUGAUCGAGUGCGGAGCAUUCGUCUUCUGGUACGGGGCCAUAGCUCAGCUGGGAGAGCGCGUGCUUUGCAAGCAUGAGGUCGUCGGUUCGAUCCCGUCUGGCUCCACCAGAUGGAAUUGAAGCUCGAUAGCGCCUCGUUCAUUUCGUCCGCGAAACAUCACUUCGCACUCAUUGGUCCGGAUGGACGGUGACGUGCGUGUUUUCUGACAUCGUAAAGAGGAGAUCGAUCCGAGUUUGGAUCAAGCGAAGCAAUUCGCCUGAGCCAUUCAUUAUCUCCGGGAUCAUUUCGGCGCUCGCUUCAAUCGUGAGAUUGGAUGCGGGUUGUAAAUGAUCCCUUUUAGCGAAGCUUGACCGCCUCGCUAUCGGGCCGAUCUUACGAAGCAAGCUGGUCUUUCUAGUCGAUGUCCGGCUGCGCAAUCGCAUUCAUCGAGGAUGCGUGCCUGAGACUUCGGUCUUCGGGCAGUUGUGCAGACAACAUUCUGCCGAGUGUGUGGACAUUGAUAAUGAGAGCAAUCAAGUGCCUUAAGGGUGUUCGGUGGAUGCCUUGGCGCUGAGAGGCGAUGAAGGACGUG